rnacentral:tRNA from 1 species
CGGGCUGUGGCGCAGCUUGGUAGCGCAUCUGCUUUGGGAGCAGAGGGUCGCUGGUUCGAAUCCAGUCAGCCCGAC